AUGAUCAGGUCCAGACUCCAAAAGGAAAAAUGCUCUGCUGCUUCGGCUGAGCAACCUACUGUAGCUCGCAGAAGAUGUGAUCUUCAAUGUCCGAAAGCUUCGAUCCUGCAUGCAUUUACAUCUGGGAGAGAGAAUUCACCUUGUUUUUACCUCUGUUUACACAUUUUUCAGAGUAAUUACCUCUUUGAACAGUUUUCAGCCGGAUUACCACGUUUUGUUGGCGACUCCUCCCUUCUUAAUGUGAAAACAGAGCACCUGCUCUGUUCGCCAAAAACAAGAACAGAACAGACAAGAACAAACAUGGGAUGCUGGGAGGGUGUUCAUGGACUCCAUUAUUCAGAAUUUCAGACUAACUAA
rnacentral:rRNA from 1 species